rnacentral:rRNA from 1 species
GACGAACGCUGGCGGCGUGCUUAACACAUGCAAGUCGAACGGAAAGGCCCCUUUGGGGGUCCUCGAGUGGCGAACGGGGGAGUAACACGUGAGUAACCUGCCCUUAACUUCCGGAUAAGUUUAGUAAACUGGGGCUAAUACUGGAUAGGAAUCCUUUCUGCAUGGUGGGGGUUGGAAAGUUUCGGCGGUUUUUGAUGGACUUGCUGCUUAUCGGCUUGUUGGUGGGGUAGUGGGUUACCAAGGCUUUGGCGGGAAGCCGGCCUGAGAGGGCGACCGGCCACAUUGGGACUGAGAUAAGGCCCCGACUCCGACUCGAGGGAGAAGUGGGAAAGAUUGAACAAGGAGCGGAGGCCGGAUGAAGAAACGCCGCGGGCGGGAUGACGGUCUUAGGGUUGUAGACCGAUUGCAGCAGUAGCGAAGCUUGUGGUGACGGUACCUGCAGAAGAAGCACCGGCUAACUACGUG